AUUUCUUUUCUUUCAUUUCUUCUCCUCCUCUCUCGUUUUUCUUUCUUCUUUUCUUCUCUGGCGAUUCUGAGAAUCGAUUUGAGGGAAUCGAUCGAUGAGGUUGUUAGUAUAUAAUCAAAUAAGGUUUGGUGGUGGUUUUCAUGUUGGUUAAUCAUGAGAAGAAGAGGAGAUGAUGAUCUGUAGAGAAACCAGAUAGUUCAGGCCAUAAAAUAAUUGAUUAAUUGAAGGAGGAUUUGAUUAGUUGGUGAUGAAUAACAAAAAGGGUUAGUGUUUAAUUGAAGUCUUGAAGAUAAUUCAGUGAUUAAUUGGUAAGUUAGGGUUUCAUGAGGAGAGAUCUGAGAAGAUUUAUAAAGUGAAUAUGAUGCUAUAGAUAGAUGAUUAGAAGUGGGUUUAGUCGACUGAGAAACGGGGAGAAGUUAAUUAGAUGUUGGGAUGUUCUGAGGGAGAAUUGGAGAAUUAGGGUUUGUUCUUGAGAUGAAGAUAUCCAGAAAAGGUUGAAGAAUCAGUUGAGAUAUUGAUGGGUUAUGGCGGCAGUGUUAACUCGAGUGUUGAUUCAACUCAGAUUGAUGAACAGAAGAUGAAUUCGGGGUUUAGAAGAAUUGUUUAAUGAAUCAACAAUUCUGAAGGUGUUAUUGCUUGGAUGGAUCUAUUGGUGUUGUAUCUACAAGUGUGUGGAUGGAUAAUUGGAUGGGUAUGUUUGUGGUAUAAUUGAAUUGGUAGUGGUUGUGUAAAUUAGUUGUGCAAACUGAAGUAAGAAGUGACGAAAUAUGAGAUUUCCAGGAAUCAAAGAAGUGUUGUGUUAUGUGAAUUGGUUUGAUGUUGAACUGUUAUUACUCAGACUAGCAGAGAUUGUAGAAAAUGUAAUUAUAGAAGGAUGUUGACUUGAGCUGUAAUUGUAUGUGGUAUGAGGAUUGAAUUAAAAUGCUAUAUAUGGUGAAUGAUGUGUUGCUAGAGUUGUAACUGCAGAACAGAAGUAGAUGUGGUGAUGUUGAGUUGGUUAUGGUAUCGGUGGAGCUGUAAAAUGAAUUAGUUGUUAUGGUGAUGGAGGAGGAUGAGUCUAAUUUGAACUGGUAAUGAUGAGAUUGGGUUGUGUGUUUGAGUUGGUAAUAUGGAGAAAGGUUAUAGUGGUAAAUAUUUGGUUCCAGUUAGGAGUAGAAUCCGUGGAGGCUUGUUGUUGCAGGUAAGCUGAGUUUUCGAUAGUGAUUAAAUUAUGAAGUUUAUUUAGAAAGAAUGAAUUUCUUUUGAGUUGUUAAGAAGAUGAUGUUAUGUGACUGAGUUUUAGGAAUUAAGAUUUGAUGAGUAUGGAGUUGAAUCUCUCUUGUAAAAGCUUAGAUUUGCAACUGCAGGUAAUUAAGCAGUGAUUAUGUUUGUAAUUUGAUUGUAAAGUUGUUUAAGAAUUUAUGAAUUGAAGUUGUAUUUGAGUUAUGUUUUGUGCAA